UACGUAGGGUGCAAGCGUUGUCCGGAAUUAUUGGGCGUAAAGAGCUCGUAGGCGGUUUGUUGCGUCGGCUGUGAAAUCCCGAGGCUCAACCUCGGGUCUGCAGUCGAUACGAGCAAACUAGAGUGUUGCAGGGGAGACUGGAAUUCCUGGUGAUAGCGGUGGAAAUGCGCAGAUAUCAGGAGGAACACCGGUGGCGAAGGCGGGUCUCUGGGCAACAACUGACGCUGAGGAGCGAAAGCGUGGGGAGCGAACAGG
rnacentral:rRNA from 1 species